rnacentral:rRNA from 1 species
GACGAACGCUGGCGGCGUGCUUAACACAUGCAAGUCGAACGGAAAGGCCCUGCUUUUGUGGGGUGCUCGAGUGGCAAACGGGUGUGUCACACGUGAGUACCCUGCCCUACACUUUGGUAUAACUUCAGGAAACUGGGGCUAAUACCGGAUAGGAGAUCCUGCUGCAUGGUGGGGGUUGGAAAGUUUGGGCGGGUGGGGAUGGACUGCCGGCUUGUCAGUUUGUUGGGGGGGUAGUGGCUUACGAGGGCUUGGAUGGGUGGCCGGCCGGGGUGGGUGACCGGCCACAUUGGGACUGGGAUCCGGCCCGGACUCCUACGGGAGGCAGCGGUGGGGAAUUUUGAACAAUGGGGGGAGGCCGGUGGCAGGAACCCCGCGUGCGGGAUGACGGCUUUCGGGUGUUAACCCGCUUUCGCCUGGGACGAGGCGUUAGUGACGGUAAUGGGUAAAGAAGCACCGGCUAACUACGUG